rnacentral:rRNA from 1 species
AUUGAACGCUGGCGGCAUGCUUUACACAUGCAAGUCGAACGGUAACAGGGUGCUUGCACCGCUGACGAGUGGCGAACGGGUGAGUAAUGCGUCGGAACGUGCCGAGUAGUGGGGGAUAACGCAGCGAAAGUUGUGCUAAUACCGCAUACGUACUGAGGUAGAAAGUGGGGGACCUUCGGGCCACGUGCUAUCGGAUGCGCCUACGUGGGAUUAGCUAGUUGGUGAGGUAAUGGCUCACCAAGGCGACGAUCCCUAGCUGGUUUGAGAGGAUGAUCAGCCACACUGGAACUGAGACACGGUCCAGACUCCUACGGGAGGCAGCAGUGGGGAAUAUUGGACAAUGGGCGCAAGCCUGAUCCAGCCAUGCCGCGUGUGUGAAGAAGGCCUUCGGGUUGUAAAGCACUUUCAGCGAGGAGGAAGGGGUGAGUGUUAAUAGUACUCAUCUUUGACGUUACUCGCAGAAGAAGCACCGGCUAACUCUGUGCCAGCCGCCGCGGUAAUAC